UGAUAUUUAUCCCUAUGAUGUUCAUUAAUUUAUAUCAUUUAUUUCUGUUACAGAGUCUGUCAGUGCUGUUUAAUGAAGUUGCAUUCAAAAACUACAACCAUGCUUCCUUUCUGCAUCUUGAGAAACUGACAUUGGAGCAGACGUCUUCCUUGACCUUAUGAUCCUGAUAUAAGGUCUCACAAGCCUGCUCAUGUGUAAUCUUAGGAUAAAGCACGGAAGAAAUGCUUCUCCCCAACAUCUGGGAAUGCAUCAUCGAAGAAAUGCUCACCAUUCCUAACCUGUGGUAUGCUUGAUACCUCUGUGACUGUUUUCUACCUGGGAAUUCCACAUCAAUGACAGAAGCAUCAGCAACUCACUGCAAAGGAAACAUGGGUCCUUCUGUUUUUACAGACAUAUGUGUCUCAUGAAGAGAUUCAGCUCUGAGAGAUACUUGUGUUAAGGAUUCUGAUGUAGGUGUCACAAACCUGCUCAUGGUAACCUCAGACUAAAGCACAGAAGAAAUGCUUCUCCCCAAACGCUGGGAAGAAUUCGUUGAAGACGUGCUCACUAUACCUAACUUGUGUUAGUAUAAAACUUGUUUUUUUUUGUAACUCUUGUUUCCUAGGAUUAAUUUUUUCAUGCAACAUUCAAGUUUUCAUGUAUUAACAUGUUGGCUAAACAUAUUUGUGUUUGUCUUACUAUUUCUGUAGAAAUAAUAUGAUAUUCUUUUCAACAAGACAUGCUUUAUAUUUCUUGCCAUAGAAUAACCUACUGCUCAUUUACUCUAGCAAUUGCCCUGAGGGCAAUGUCUGGUAAAUAUUCUUUGAUGUGGUAUCCACUAGUACCUUUCCUUUUUGACUCUUGAUAAAGUACAGAACCUUUA